UUUGUUAUUGUGGAUCAUGAAGUCACCAAACGGAGCAAUGGAAUGGCAGCCUUGGAUUAAGCUGGGUGUAUAUUAUUCUAAGUAAAUAAGAUCUUUUGAAAGGAGCGAACCAUUUGUCAUUCCAGUUAGUGCCAAUGAUCUCUUCUGUGCCCAAAGCUCCUAUUUCACCCACUAAGAAUUCCAAGAUUCAAAGUGUAUUCUCUACAUGGGCAGUGGGGCUAAAGUCAUUCUUUGUGUUCAAGUUAUUCUUCAUUUAUAACAACAGGGGACUUUGCUCUCUCUUCAUCGAAAGACAGCUGGAUUUUUGCAAGGGCCUGAUCAUCAACCAAUAAAGAGGCAACAAGCAAGUUUUAA